AGGUAGCGCAAUCACUUGUCUUUUAAAUGAAGACCCGUAUGAAUGGCAUAACGAGGGCUUAACUGUCUCCUUUUUCUAGUCAAUGAAAUUGAUCUCCCCGUGCAGAAGCGGGGAUACCCCCAUAAGACGAGAAGACCCUGUGGAGCUUUAGAUGACAGAGUAGAUCAUGUCAACACCCUCCUCUCAAGGAAAUGAACUAAAUGACCUCUACUUUAAUAUCUUUGGUUGGGGCGACCGCGGGGAAACAAAAAACCCCCACGUGGAAAGGGAGUACCUCUCCUACACCUAAGAGCCGCAGCUCUAAGUAACAGAAUUUCUGACCAACAAGAUCCGGCAAUGCCGAUCAACGGACCGAGUUACCCCAGGGAUAACAGCGCAAUCCUCUUUUAGAGCCCAUAUCGACAAGGGGGUUUACGACCUCGAUGUUGGAUCAGGACAUCCUAUUGGUGCAGCCGCUAUUAAGGGUUCGUUUGUUCAACGAUUAAAGUCCUAC
rnacentral:rRNA from 1 species